rnacentral:rRNA from 1 species
CUUAAAUGAAUUGACGGGGCCCGCACAAGCGGAGGAACAUGUGGUUAAUUCGAUGAUACGCGAGGAACCUUACCUGGGCUUAAAUGGGGAGUGACAGCUGUCGAAAGAUGGUUUCUUCGGACACUCUUCAAGGUGCUGCAUGGUUGUCGUCAGCUCGUGCCGUGAGGUGUCGGGUUAAGUCCCGCAACGAGCGCAACCCUUAUCGUUAGUUGCUACCAUUAAGUUGAGCACUCUAGCGAGACUGCCCGGGUUAACCGGGAGGAAGGUGGGGAUGACGUCAAAUCAUCAUGCCCCUUAUGUCUAGGGCUACACACGUGCUACAAUGGUGAGAACAAAGAGAGGCAAGACCGCGAGGUGGAGCAAAUCUCACAAAACUCAUCCCAGUUCGGAUUGCAGGCUGAAACUCGCCUGCAUGAAGCCGGAGUUGCUAGUAAUCGCGAAUCAGCAUGUCGCGGUGAAUACGUUCCCGGGCCUU